AAAUUGGUUUGAUGUGUGGCUAACAAUGUGUGUGUAGCCAGGCAAGCACCUACUAGUAGGGGUGUGGUUGGCUAAUUAUCCCAAGACUUUUUAAGCAGGUACUGGGCAAGAGGCCUUGAACUGUGGGCCCUGUUUUAAAAGCACAUGGGAUAUAGUGCUGCUUUGUUUGGUUGAGUUUGAAGUCGCCCCAGAGGAGAUGCAGAUAAAUUGAGCAAUGCUGACUGUGUAUGUUGACAGCUGCUGGUGUAGGUUUGUCAAUAGCUGUUUCUCCCGUGUUGUUUUUGUUUGGUCCCCCGGUUGGCCGGUCUCAGGAGUGUGCUGCAUGGUGGCAGCACGUGUAUUGUGUGAAUUGUUUGUGUAUGAGUCUGGUCUUUCUUUUUUUUUUUUUUUUUUUUUUUUGUAUUCUUUUUUUAUUUGUAUUGAUAUCUUCUCAGCCUUAUGUCCCCAGGUUAACUCAUGGUGCUUGUCUUUUGUGUGCGUGUGUGCAUCCCGUUGUCUAUGGGAUUUAAGUUUGCUGUGGUUUCUUUUGUAGUUAUGAGUGAAGGAUUAUGUUGUAAGUUGUGUAUUAUUAUUUGAAUUGUGGUUAUUGCCUUUUGAGGUGUUUAAUGUAAGAGGGAUGUCCCCCCUAUGCCUAAAGGUUUGCCGCACGCAACGAAAGCAGUUAUCAUAGCGAGAGAGUUGAGCUGGCUGUUAACCUCUUUGAGAGCUGGGACUAAUUCUGGAUGAGCUACUGGUGGAAUCUGUCAGUGGUGCAUGCUCAAUGAACACUGCCUUAAUUAGCAUGUAAAUGAGAGCACGUACGGAGAAGGUAGAUUUUUCUGUACACAUCGUAAUGAGCUGAAGGACAGAGAAAUUAAGAUGCUGAUAGCAUUGCACAAACUGUCAGCAGUGUCAAAGGACAAAGUGGAGUGCAGCAGAGGAGUUUGCUUUGGAGGGGGACAAUGAUUCUUUCUUCAUGUUUGUUUUUUACUUGCAUCUCUCGAUUUAUAUGUUUAUAUGCAUGCAUCUAUCAUUGUAAAGAUGAAUUAAGGUCUACUGCCAAGAAUUAAAAAUGAUUAAACCUAUUUAAAAAAAAGAUAAUAUAAUUGUAUUAUUAAUAAUAAUAAUAUAUCUGUAGAAUAAAAAUCUAAAAUUUGGGGGAUUUUUUUAGAGACA